UUUGUCAUCUCGAUGUUGGUGAGAAGUUGGUGCCCGAGCUACAAGGAUGACCGGAGGGUCAGAAUGAGAGCUGAGAAGUUAAUUAAAUGAAGAAGCGAAAGGAAGAAAGGAAGAUGAAUCUGCUUACCUCGAGGAAGGCCCCCAGCGAGUCCCAGACUCGUUGUGCAGGAUCGAUGCGGAUGAUCUUCUGGAUGACUUCGGGC
rnacentral:lncRNA from 1 species